GAAAAAAAGCUGGGAGUGUUUUUGGUGUUUGGUAAACUAAAAAAAAAAGGGCUUAUUUUGGAAGCUGCUGUGAGAAUAAGCUGAAAUCAAAGGAAAAAGCUGAAGCUGCCAUUUGUAGCUUUGGAAAACUGGCUUUUUUUCAAAGCACACAGAACUACAGUGCUCCUUUAAUGAAAAGACCCACUAUCAGACUGCUUUUUUUUCCAAAAGCACUUUUACAAAAAAGUUUACCAAAACACUCUGCUGAUUUAUUUCACAGCCGCUUAUUCUC
rnacentral:lncRNA from 1 species